AUGGCUAAAACUGUGUCCUUUACUCAUUCAGGUGAAUCUGUUUGUUUCCUUGUUUAUCCCUUGAGGAUACUGAAAGCACCCUCAAUAAUACUUGAUGGCUCUGAAGACUCAGGCACAGAUCAUCAAUGGGAUUUGCUGGUGAAGCUGUUUGUGACUGUAACAAAUCAAAAUGACCAAAUUUUCAGGGCUUGCAAAUCUGAGGAAACAGUCAACAUUGACAGUGAGUAAGUGAAUUGAAUGGACCAAACUAAUGAUUGAUGGAUCUCAUCAACGAUCCGAUCCUCGAGCCACAGAACCACCCACAGAUGUCACCCAAAGAUGGAGUUUUGCUGUCAACACACCACCUGCUUUUUUUGCUGCUUAUUCUAGGAGCCAAAAGUUAUAGUAUAUUCAUAGUGCAUUUUAUAGGACUUCAAACUGAAAAUCAUAAAUGAAGCCUUCAUCUGCUCUUGUGAAACAUAUACACUGAAAUAAUGUUUUUCUCCUCUCAUACAUGCAGUUUAGCUCUUGCCCAAUAAUACCUAAUAACUUUCCUUUGUAGUGUUGUUAAAAAUAGAAAGAAAUAUUUCCAUUUGUAUCUGGCAUAGGUAUUUGAGGACAUAGAUUUCAUCGGUAAAAAUGGCCAAAAUAAAUGUCAUCUGGUGUUUACA
rnacentral:lncRNA from 1 species